CUUGGGAUCAGUGCUCUGAGCACCCAGCAGAAGAGGCUCUGAAUGCUUCGGGCUCAGUUAGUCAAGCACCGUGAGCUGCAACAGGGAACAUACAGACAGGAGGCCAGCUGGAGUCUCUCUCUUUCACUUCCUGACGUGUACACCCCGUCAACCCUCAAAUUUCAGCCUCCGAAGCUCCGAGAAAGCCCCUUGGGGAAUACUCUGCUCCUCCCUUUCACUGGGCAGAGCGACCAGCACAGGCUGUGGUCUCCUCGGAAGCUUUGGUGGGAUGCAGGCAGCAUCUGGGAGAAGGCGCCUCGGAACUCACGUGCCCGCGUUGCCCAGGACCCCAAUUCCUUCCACCUCUCGGAUGCUGCUUUCUUUUCCCAGGGACAGAGCCAAGCUGUAAUUGACUCCUUGGGUAUUUCAGAGUCCCUGAUCCCAAGACUGAAGGAUGACUCCCUGCUGUUGUGAAAGGUGCGCUGAAUCGACAGUCCUGAGUUUUGAAGUUUUCCUGGAGGGGACGUGAGGGGAUUUCUCCAGGAUCGAUGGAACUCCUUUUGUGGUGCUUCAGUGCUUCCACCAUGAAGCGCUCAUUUCCCUAUGCACGUCCCCCCGCCCCACCCCACUGUUUCCUUUACUCUCUCUCCUCCCACCCCCAAUUCCCAGAAGAAGAUCUAGGAAUCAGGUCCAAACAUAAGAUCUUUGGAGAAUCCUUGCGUGUGUUUUUUUAAAUUUUUAUUGGAGUAUAGUUGAUUUACAAUGUUGUGUUAGUUCCGGGUGUACAGCAAAGUGAAGCAGUUAUACAUAUACAUAUAAUCCACUCUUUUUUAGACUCUUUUCCCAUACAGGUCAUUACAGAGUACUGAGUAGAGUUCCCUGUGCUAUACAGUAGGUCCUGAUUAGUCAUCUAGUUUAUAGGUAGUGUUGUGUAUAUGUCAAUCCCAAUCUCCCAAUUUAUCCCUCUCCCCUCCCCACUUUCCCCCCCUGGUAACCAUAAGUUUGUUUUCUACACCUGUGACUCUAUUUCGAAUCCUUGUGUUUUACUCUCGUCCUGAAACUAGAUAAAGCCUAGUCAUCAAUCAACAAGUGAGGAAGUAGAGCCAGGCAUUGGUUGAGUGUUGAUGUUUCUGGUACAAGCUGACUCUCCGCUCAUCAUCCCACACCUUCAUCAGCCAUCAUCAUGCUGUCUGUCACCUCCUCUUCUCUGAAGAAGGCCCGGGCCAUCUUUUGAAAAUACAAAGUCCAGCAUUGAGACCCUCCCAACUGAGAGAGCAGGAAGGGCCAGGGCUGCUGAGGUGCUCCCUGAACCCCACUCAGGGGAUCUGUGUUGUUCCCACCUGGGUGUAUUGUGUGGACCCCCUAAAAUUCCUCCAAACCUCUGCCUCUGCGCUUCCAGAUUGCCCCUGAAAGAAAUGAACAAUAAUCAUAAUACCCACCACGUACUGACCGCUGGUCUCUUGAGGGCUGCCUUGCCAUUGGACAACAUUUGUUGAGCUCCUACUGUUUGCCAGACAGCGGGUACAUGCUUUAUGUGUGUUUAGCCCUUCUGACAACACUGUGAUUUAGGACCUGUUAAUAUGUCUAUUUUGCUGAAAUGGAAACUGAGGUUCAGAGUGGUUAAAUAACAAGGAAAAGUCCAUGUUUUUACCCCCUACACUAAUAUAUAUGUAUAUUUGUGUAUAUAUAUUCUAUAUAUGUAUAUUUAACAUGUAUAUGAUGUUGACUGAAAAAAAUGCACAACCUCAAAGUUGAGAAAUAUGUUUUAUUGGGUGGGCAAAACUGAGGACUUAAGCCUGGGACACAGCCUCUCAGCUCUCUCUGAGGGACUGAUCCAAAAAGGAGAGGGAGGAGCCAUCAACUACAGGAGUUUUUGCAACAAAGACCAGGUAAUCGGAACAUGGAAAGAUUCCUGUUAAUUAAAGAAAACCAGACAUCUCGAGUUAAUGACUUUUUAGUGUUUUUCUGUGUAUGGGAAGAUGCAAAAGUCUGGGCUCACUGAAAUCCUUCCUUUGAUAUGCACCUCAGCUAUGUGGGCCAGUAUCCUGUGCUUUCUCAUCCUGUGUUCCCUCGGGGUGCACCAUCAGGGGAGGCUGUGGCAGUUGACUGCUAGAUGGUGGGCAUCCUGUUUCCAUCCUGAGUUUCCUCAGGGUUCACUCUUGGGGCGGCUAUAAUGUGAUGGCUUGAUGGCUGCAACAUCCUUUGUUUACUGAUAUGGCAGGCAACAUUUUUUCAUUGACAAUUAUAUAUAUACAAUAGACACUGUUCGUGUUACAUAUAUUAUCUAUUUUACGUGCUACGUGUUUUUUAGACUCUUUGCAAAAAACCUUGCAAGGUAGGUGUUAUUCUUUACAUUUUGUGAAAAAGAAAUUAAAGCCUCUAACAGGCUGAGAAAUUUGUCAGGUCACUACAUCACGAUUAACAAGUCAGUGAACAAGAUUUUGAAUCCAAGUAAUCCUUUUGUGAAAACAAAACCCCCCCAAAAACAAAGAAACUAUGUUCUUUCCAUGCUCCAAAAUAUAUUUUGGUCAAGUGACUUAAGAAACUCUCCCUUAAGCUUGUCUAAAGCAGAAAAUAAGACAACAAUGCUUUACUGGAAAUUAUCAAAAGGCAGGAUCAAGCAGGAAUAAUGAAAGGGAGCCUGAGGUUUCGGGUGAUGAACCCACUGGCUAAAUAGGCCCCUGGAAACAGACCCACUUUUUUUUUUUUUUAAUUAAUUUGUAUAUUUGUUUAUUGACUGUUUUCCUCCAAUAGAAUGUAAUCUUUUUUUUUUUUUAACAUCUUUAUUGGAGUAUAAUUGCUUUACAAUGGUGUUAGUUUCUGCUUUAUAACAAAGUGAAUCAGCUCUACAUAUACAUAUAUCCCCAUAUCUCCUCCCUCUUGCUAGCUCAUGAUUUAGGACCCACGCACAGGAGAAUUCAGGCUGCAUUAAUAGAAAAAUAUGACUUGCAGCCCUGGAGAUGUGGCUUCAGAGGAAAUGAUGACUUAAUGCUUGUGAUCUGUAAGAAUGUUGGUGUUUUGGGUCAAGUAACCUAUGCAUUUUCUCAAGGGAGGUAGGUUUGGGGAAAAAAGGCAAUAAUUAAACUGAACAUACCAACAAGGAAAAAAUAAUUUAACUGUUACGAUGACUCAUUUAGUUGGCAGCUUCAGGUAAUGAGGUGCUCUGGAUUAAUUUUCCUGAGAGCAGAAACAUAUCCCUUUAAAUGAUGAAGCAUGUUAUCUUCAUCAAUCUUUGAAGAAAAUAUUUCCAAGGUACAUUUUAUAUUCUCUUUUGUCAGUAGUAUUCUUGACAAUUUUUAGGACUAGAGACAUAGUUUUUGUUUUUAAAGAGUUUAAAGAACGAUUUGAUCUUUGAAAAUCAUGUUACAUCGUUGGUCCCCAGUGUUUUCAUCUACAGUAUGUGAACUUUGGGUUAGAUGAUCAUCAAGGUUCCUUCCAUCUCUAAUAUUCUCUAAGUAAAGGGCUCUUGUGCACAAUAAAAUUUAAAACAUAAGAAUCAUCGAGGGGGCUUGUUAAAAAUGCAGAUUCUUAGGUAUCAUUGUUGGAGGUUCUGAUUCAGUUGGUUUGAGUGAGGCAAGAGAACCUGUAUCAUAAAUGGGUGCAUACCCAUGGCCAUUUUGAUGACCUCAUUUUGAGAAACUGAUUCUCUUUCCAGCCUCAGAUAACAGAUGUCAUAACCAUUUUUGGCCACCAGGGUACCGUUGCUGCCCUGCCCUCAGUGGUGUGAAGUUGUAAGGGGCUGACCAGACCCAGAGGCCUGUGCUUUGAUAGUUUGCUUCUGAUCCCAUCCUCAGUAUUAACUGUCACUUAGUUAAUGUAGCUGCUGAGGAAAACCAGAUAAUCGAGCUGCAAAUUAGGUGCCCUGCAUUUGUACCUAUGAGUCAUUAAGUUUUCAUCUCAGGCUGGGUAGGGGCGAGGGGAGGACUUCCAUUUUCUCCUGUAGUCUAAAGUGCAUAAAUGAGCCACGGCUAUCUUAGACCCUGUUUGGAGGUCUCUUACUCUUCGUUCGUGUUCUUUCUCAUCCUAAGAGUCAAGUUUCUGGAAGGGCGACAUCAGGAGAAGUGGCAGAUUUCUGUGUAAAUAUGUUAACAUUUCAUAGUGAGGUUUGGGGUCAGGGCUGUCCCUGACUUCUCUUUUAAAUUUCUUUAUUUUUUGAACAGUUGUAUUGAUGUAUAAUUCACAUGCCAUACAAUUGACUCUUUUGAAGUAUAUGCAAUUCAGUGGUUUUUAGUAAAAUCUGUGAAUUUAUAGAGUUGUAUGCACCUAUCAUGUAAUCUAAUUUUUGAACAUUUCCAUCACCCUCCAAAAGAAACCUUGUGCCUAUUUGGAAUCACUCUCAUUCCCACCCCCAGACCCAUUCAACCGAUAAUUUACUUCUUACCUCUAUAGAUUUGCCUUUUGUAGACAUUUCAUAUAAAUGGGCUCAUACCGUA